rnacentral:rRNA from 1 species
AUAAGAUAUCAAGGGCAACAGGUGAAUGCCUUGGCGCUGAGAGGCGAUGAAAGACGCGGUAAGCUGCGAUAAGCAUCGGGGAGGAGCUAAACAUCCUACGAUCCGAUGAUUUCUGAAUGGGGAAACCCGAUGGGAGUCAUGUCCCAUCAUCCUGAGCUGAAUAUAUAGGCCCAGAGAAGCCAACCCGGGGAAGUGAAACAUCUCAGUACCCGGAGGAAGAGAAAUCAAACGAGACUCCCAAAGUAGCGGCGAGCGAAAUGGGAAGAGCCCAAACCAGAGUGCGUGCAUUCUGGGGUUACGGACUGCAUAAGUGAGCUGAUUCGUUAAUGGAACGGUCCUGGAAAGACCGGCCAGAGAGAGUGAAAGCCUCGUACAUGAAAACGAUAAGCAGCGGCAGGAUCCAGAGUACCGCGAGACACGUGGAACCUUGCGGGAAUUCGGGGGGACCACCCCCCAAGGCUAAAUACUCCUUAGUGACCGAUAGCGCAUAGUACUGUGAAGGAAAGGUGAAAAGGACCCCGGGAGGGGAGUGAAAGAGAACCUGAAACCCUGUGUUUACAAGCUGUGGAACAUCAUUAUUCGAUGAACCGCGUACUUUUUGUAGAACGGUCCGGCGAGUUACGCUUACUGGCAAGGUUAAGCACUGAAGGUGCGGAGCCGGAGGGAAACCAAGUCUGAAUAGGGCGAUGAGUCAGUAGGAGUAGACCCGAAACCGGGUGAUCUAUCCAUGUCCAGGUUGAAGCUGCCGUAAGAGGUAGUGGAGGACCGAACCCACAUCCGUUGAAAAGGGUGGGGAUGAGGUGUGGAUAGGGGAGAAAUUCCAAUCGAACCCGGAGAUAGCUGGUUCUCCUCGAAAUAGCUUUAGGGCUAGCCUCGUAUUAGUCUUGCGGAGGUAGAGCACUGAAUAUCCUAGGGGGCGUCAAAGCUUACCGAAGAUUAUCAAACUCCGAAUGCCGCGUAGAUGAUGUACGGGAGUCAGACUGCACGAGAUAAGUUGGGUAGUCAAAAGGGAAAGAGCCCAGACCACCAGCUAAGGUCCCAAAGUGCGUGUUAAGUGGUAAAGGAUGUGGGAUUUCGAAGACAACUAGGAUGUUGGCUCAGAAGCAGCCAUACAUUCAAAGAGUGCGUAAUAGCUCACUAGUCGAGAGGUCCUGCGCCGAAAAUGUCCGGGGCUAAAACACGACACCGAAGCUGUGGAUCCGAAAGGAUGGUAGAGGAGCAUUCUUAAGUCGACGAAGCUGUACUGUAAGGAGCAGUGGAGAGUUAAGAAGAGAGAAUGCCGGAAUGAGUAGCGAGAUUUAAGUGAGAAUCUUAAAGGCCGAAUAUCUAAGGUUUCCAGGGUAAAGCUGAUCUUCCCUGGGUAAGUCGGGGCCUAAGGCGAGGGCGAGAGCCGUAGUCGAUGGAUAACAGGUUGAAAUUCCUGUACUGCUUAUGGACAGAACUGUGGGGACGCAGAAGGAGAGCACGAGCCGGAAAUGGAAAAGCCGGUACAAGCGUAUAGCAGUCAUGCAGGCAAAACCGCAUGAAAAAUGUAAAGCGUUAUGUGGAUCGAACAUUAGUAGAGAAGCGUGUGAGCCAGCUGCCAAGAAAAGCCGCUAUUGCUUCAUAAGUACCCGUACCGUAAACCGACACAGGUGGAUGAGGAGAGAAUCCUAAGGCCGGCGGGAGAAGUGUUGUUAAGGAACUCGGCAAAAUGACUCCGUAACUUCGGGAGAAGGAGUGCCACAGAGAUGUGGCCGCAGAGAAAUGGCCCAAGCAACUGUUUAGCAAAAACACAGGUCUAUGCAAAACCGAAAGGUGAGGUAUAUGGGCUGACGCCUGCCCGGUGCUGGAAGGUUAAGAGGAGAGGUUAGAGCAAUCGAAGCUUUGAAUUUAAGCCCCAGUAAACGGCGGCCGUAACUAUAACGGUCCUAAGGUAGCGAAAUUCCUUGUCGGGUAAGUUCCGACCCGC